rnacentral:rRNA from 1 species
AUUGAACGCUGGCGGCAGGCCUAACACAUGCAAGUCGAACGAGUGGCGGACGGGUGAGUAAUGUCUGGGCAACUGCCUGAUGGAGGGGGAUAACUACUGGAAACGGUAGCUAAUACCGCAUACCAUCGGAUGUGCCCACAUGGGAUGAGCUAGUAGGUGGGGUAAAGGCUCACCUAGGCGACGAUCCCUAGCUGGUCUGCGAGGAUGACCAGCCACACUGGAACUGAGACACGGUCCAGACUCCUACGGGAGGCAGCAGUGGGGAAUAUUGCGCAAUGGGCGCAAGCCUGAUGGAGCCAUGCCGCGUGUAUGAAGAAGGCUUUCGGGUUGUAAAGUACUGUCAUCGGGGAGGCGUUACCCGCAGAAGAAGCACCGGCUAACUCCGUGCCAGCAGCCGCGGUAAUUC